GCCCAGAGCUCUUUCUUGACUGUUUUGGUGCUCGAAGACGCAAUCAGCUUCCGAGGGGAUUUUUUUAAAGUAGUACCUAGUUCGCAUCAAAAUAGCUAGCAGUUGGAUUUGUUUUCACAGCUGUUAAAUCCUGAGGACAGAUGGCCUCAGUGGUGCAUAAGCAGCGGAUCGUUUUGCAGAUCUGAGGUGUCCUGAGGCUGCGCCAAUGCACAAGGAGGGGUAGCAGCGGGAGCGAGGGUCUGGGGGAGCAGCUACUUCGACUGACAGAAGGAAGAGUGUUGGAUGGUUGUGUGUGCUAAUACGCACUAAAAGUUAAAAAAGAGAAGGCAGGGAGGAAACUGGUGGUGAAAGCAGCCCAGAGCUGGAACUGGGCUACAGGGCGGCUGGGAAAUGAUAAAUCCGUAAGGCRCCUCCUGAUUGCUGCUCUCCUGGUGCAGGGCAACAGGACUUUGUGCUCCUUGGCAAAUAAAAAGGCCUGUGCCAAGGAAGUACCUUGCGCCAGACCCCACCAGCCCUGCAGCAUUGCCAAAGGGCAACGUUGACCUCUUGCGUUGCCCCCGCAACUCCAGAGAGCUCCGUGGAGGCUCCUGAAGCUCGAAGCCCAAGCUGGCUGCACGUGAAUAAAUACUGUGAUCAGUGAAAGGUUUUACCUGAG
rnacentral:lncRNA from 1 species